rnacentral:rRNA from 1 species
UGGGGAAUCUUGGACAAUGGGGGCAACCCUGAUCCAGCCAUGCCGCGUGGGUGAAGAAGGCCUUAGGGUUGUAAAGCCCUUUCAGUCGUGACGAUGAUGACGGUAGCGACAGAAGAAGCCCCGGCUAACUCCGUGCCAGCAGCCGCGGUAAUACGGAGGGGGCAAGCGUUGUUCGGAUUUACUGGGCGUAAAGGGCGCGUAGGCGGACGGUCAAGUCAGAGGUGAAAGGCCCGGGCUCAACCUGGGACGUGCCUUUGAAACUGAUUGUCUUGAGUGCGGAAGAGGGUGACGGAAUUCCCAGUGUAGAGGUGAAAUUCGUAGAUAUUGGGAAGAACACCGGUGGCGAAGGCGGUCACCUGGUCCGCAACUGACGCUGAGGCGCGAAAGCGUGGGGAGCAAACAGGAUUAGAUACCCCCGUAGUCC